rnacentral:tRNA from 1 species
GAGGUGUUAGUAAAACAAUUACAUAAUCUUGUCAAGAUUAAAUUACAGGUGAAAACCCCGUACACCUCUA